rnacentral:tRNA from 2 species
CAAAGGGUAGUUUACAUAAAAUAUUAAUUUUGGGGAUUAAUGAUGAGAAAUUUUCUUUCCUUUGA